GAUAGAUUUGUACGCUUUUAUUUACAUUUAUCUGCGAAAGAAAAUACACGUCGUGCCCAGUUGCUGAAGUGGCUCUCUUUCUAGUCCUAAGAGCACACAUAACAAAAACAUGUGAAAGAAAUACCAAACAACAUUUUGCAAGGAUUUAGAGGUCAUUGGUAAAAAUGGAAGAAAGGACAUGGGUACAUCUAAUUUUAAGUGAAAUAACAAGAAUAGUUAAAUGAUUUACAACCAAACAGCACUCAGCAAUAGUGAUGGUUAAACAAGAUUUAGUGCCUGCCACACAAUUAAGAAAGAAUGAGAGGCAAGAAUGUCUACAGAACAGAGGAGAUUAUUUGUACUGCACUUCGAUUUGUGUUCUAGUUAUAUUCAAUUAGUUUUAAAGAGUUAUGUAC